rnacentral:rRNA from 1 species
CGAACGCUGGCGGCGUGCUUAACACAUGCAAGUCGAACGGAAAGGCCCUGCUUUUGUGGGGUGCUCGAGUGGCGAACGGGUGAGUAACACGUGAGUAACCUGCCCUUGACUUUGGGAUAACUUCAGGAAACUGGGGCUAAUACCGGAUAGGAGCUCCUGCUGCAUGGUGGGGGUUGGAAAGUUUCGGCGGUUGGGGAUGGACUCGCGGCUUAUCAGCUUGUUGGUGGGGUAGUGGCUUACCAAGGCUUUGACGGGUAGCCGGCCUGAGAGGGUGAUCGGCCACAUUGGGACUGAGAUACGGCCCAGACUCCUACGGGAGGCAGCAGUGGGGAAUAUUGCACAAUGGGCGGAAGCCUGAUGCAGCAACGCCGCGUGCGGGAUGACGGCCUUCGGGUUGUAAACCGCUUUCGCCUGUGACGAAGCGUGAGUGACGGUAAUGGGUAAAGAAGCACCGGCUAACUACGUG